AUAUGUCAGAAUUACCAAAUGUUUGACAUCCAAUAGCCGAUGAUUAAUUAAUGUACUCUAGUGGAGUUGUUAAAUAAAGCAAACUUUUUUUUUUUUUUUUUUUUUUGUAAAACCAUAAAGAUAAGCAAAUAAAUAAGGCUAUGUGUACGUAAAUCUAGAUAAUUUUGUGUCCAGGUUGUUAGGUGAAUGCUGUUGAACUGACUAGGCUUUAAAAACAAUUUAAGAUAUUAUAAUUGAAAAAACUAAACAAUUUAAGAUAAUAUAAUUGAAAAAACUAAACAAUUUAAAAUAUUAUAAUUGAUUGUAAACUGAUGGUGAGUGAAUUCUGUAUUGUGAUCGGUUAAUUACAUUUUUUUUUCAGGAUCAAAUGAAAAUAACACCAAGAUAGUAAAUGACGUUAUUAAAAAGCGACGUCAUUAGCAAUUGGAAGAGGCCAAGUUGAUGGGUUAAAGGUCUACAGUUAGAUUGUAGCCAGAAUCCCUUUUGAAUAAUGUAUAUCAAGAUGGUAACAGGAUAUAACUGAAGAAAAGGGAUGUGAGAGAAUCCAGUCUAACAUUUAAAAAUAAAUAUACAUUUAUAGUA